AGGGACUUUUGGGGGCAGAUGUG
rnacentral:ncRNA from 11 species